UCAAGUAACCCUUGUAACACUGGACAACACACAUUCUCCACUGGAUUUCCAAGUCCAAUAUGGAUCAAACCUCCCAAAACGUCAACACAAGCUCCAAGCUUCAAUGCGUUGAUCGGACACGUUGGUUGAGAACUUCCUCCUCCAGAAGGUGGACCACCAUGAUACGGUGGAUAACCAGAGGAUGGUGGUGGAGUUGUGAUCGGAGGUGGGUUAAUGAUCGGAGGGAGAAGUCCUGGAGGUGUUGUGAUUGGAGGGAGAAUUCCUGGAGGAGUUGUGACCGGAGGUGGGUUAAUGAUCGGAGGGAGAAUUCCUGGAGGAGUUGUGACCGGAGGAGGUCUUACCAUUGGUGGUGGAUAGACGACCGGAGGAGGUCUUGAGAUAGGCGGUGGCCUCACCACUGGUGGUGGAUAAACCACCGGAGGAGGUCUAACAAACGGCGGUGAUGUCCCUCCACCAUGAUGUGGUGGCCCACCACCACCACCACCAUGAUGCGGCGGCCCACCACCUUUUCCACCGUGAUGUGGCGGUUUACUACCACCUUUUCCUCCGU
rnacentral:lncRNA from 1 species